ACCGCUAGGGGUCGCUAAACUCUUCAAAACAAUAACAAAGGCAUAGAUUGAUGACGCAGUGAAUGAGCGUGGACUCAUGGAACGUGUCGUCAUUCCGAUGGAUCUAAUAAUGUUUAUGGAUGAGUGAAUGCAUUCAUGUUUUUAACAUGACUGUGGUAUAAAGCAGGGCGUGGCCGAGAUUCGCGAUUGCUACUGAGAGACAGAUAUCAGAGUCCCAGGGGAUAUAAAGGAAUGAGGAUAUUUCAUUCUACCGAACUACUCACAAAGCUGAAAUACUACUAAUACAGUUUGCUUGCCAUGGUCCAUAUUUUUGAACGAAACAACAACAGCAUGCUGCUAGAUGUUACACAGCUGUCCGUGUCUGUUGCCAUGGUUACUAUGCAGUACAAGCGGAAACCGUCAUUGACAGGCGACAAGUGACAAGGGAGGGACGGGCACUAUUUAAAAUUGUGAAUUUCCCUGAAUUCACAAAUUCUUGGAAACAUUUAGGAUAAUUCGCCUGCACUGUGCUAUAGUCUGCGAUCACUCCGCUUGACUUUGUCUAAUUUAACAAAAAUGUCAGCGGAACUUCUCUGCCUUGUCACUGGAAGUGACAUUCCUCUAUUCUGUGUCCCUGGGGUAAGAAACGCCGCCAUUGAAGAUUGAAGCAGACGGACGGUGGUUUUUAAAUUUCGGUUUCAGCCGUCCAUCAGAAGAUUAAAAUUCAUAGGCUCAGCAUCGGAGAAAGGAAGCACACGCACGAGGGACCAGUGCCUUCUUCCCCUCUGCCUAUAAAUGCAUUUGAAAUAUACCUGGCGUAGUCAAAAUGUGAUCAAUGUUUUUCUGUAGCUUUCUUCAUGUCUCCUCAGCAGAUGUCCCCUCAGGGAAGUAAAUGCAUGGUAUAACCAGCACUUCUACUUAUGAUGAGAAGUAUGAGAGUGAG